rnacentral:rRNA from 1 species
UACGGGGGGGGCAAGCGUUGUUCGGAAUUACUGGGCGUAAAGGGCUCGUAGGCGGCCAACUAAGUCGGACGUGAAAUCCCCGGGCUCAACCCGGGAACUGCGUCCGAUACUGGCAGGCUUGAAUUCGGGAGAGGGAUGCGGAAUUCCAGGUGUAGCGGUGAAAUGCGUAGAUAUCUGGAGGAACACCGGUGGCGAAGGCGGCAUCCUGGACCGAGAUUGACGCUGAGGCGCGAAAGCCAGGGGAGCAAAGCGGG